AUCCGGCUGACGAGUCCCGAAUAGGACGAAACGCGCGUCCUGAAU
rnacentral:hammerhead_ribozyme from 1 species